rnacentral:rRNA from 1 species
UGAACGCUGGCGGCGUGCCUAAUACAUGCAAGUCGAGCGAACAGACGAGGAGCUUGCUCCUCUGACGUUAGCGGCGGACGGGUGAGUAACACGUGGAUAACCUACCUAUAAGACUGGGAUAACUUCGGGAAACCGGAGCUAAUACCGGAUAAUAUAUUGAACCGCAUGGUUCAAUAGUGAAAGACGGUUUUGCUGUCACUUAUAGAUGGAUCCGCGCCGCAUUAGCUAGUUGGUAAGGUAACGGCUUACCAAGGCAACGAUGCGUAGCCGACCUGAGAGGGUGAUCGGCCACACUGGAACUGAGACACGGUCCAGACUCCUACGGGAGGCAGCAGUAGGGAAUCUUCCGCAAUGGGCGAAAGCCUGACGGAGCAACGCCGCGUGAGUGAUGAAGGUCUUCGGAUCGUAAAACUUUGUUAUUAGGGAAGAACAAAUGUGUAAGUAACUAUGCACGUCUUGACGGUACCUAAUCAGAAAGCCACGGCUAACUACGUG